rnacentral:rRNA from 1 species
AGAGUUUGAUCCUGGCUCAGAACGAACGCUGGCGGCGUGGAUUAGGCAUGCAAGUCGAGCGCGAAUCUGGGAAUCCAAGUUUUCGGACAAGGUUUUCCGGAGGAAAGCGGCGGAAGGGUGAGUACAACAUGGACAACCCAUCUCCAAGUUGGGUAUAGCCUCCCGAAAGGGGGGAUAAUACCGAAUGUGACCAGGGCUGGCAUCACCCCGACGUUAAAGGCGGGGACCGCAAGGCCUGCCGCAAAGGGAGGGAUUCAGGUACCAUCAGCUAGUUGGCAGGGUAACGGCCUACCAAGGCGACGACGGUUAGCUGGUCUGAGAGGACGACCAGCCGCACUGGGACUGAGAUACUGCCCAGACUCCUACGGGAGGCUGCAGUCGAGGAUCAUUCGCAAUGGGCGCAAGCCUGACGAUGCGACGCUGCGUGGAGGAUGAAGGGCUUCGGCUCGUAAACUCCUGUCAUGAGGGAAAAAGCUCCCCGUAAUCAACAACUACGGGGGUCGAUGGUACUUCAAGAGGAAGCCACGGCUAACUCUGUGCCAGCAGCCGCGGUAAUACAGAGGAUGCAAGCGUUAUCCGGAUUUAUUGGGUUUAAAGGGUGCGUAGGCGGAUUGGUAAGUCAGCGGUGAAACGCAGGUGCUCAACACCUGACCUGCCGUUGAUACUGUCAGUCUAGAAUGCGGAUGCUGUGGGAGGAAUGUGUGGUGUAGCGGUGAAAUGCAUAGAUAUCACACAGAACACCGAUUGCGAAGGCAUCUCACAAAUCCGUAAUUGACGCUGAGGCACGAAAGUGCGGGGAUCGAACAGGAUUAGAUACCCUGGUAGUCCGCACAGUAAACGAUGAAUACUCGCUGUCGGCGAUAGACAGUCGGCGGCCAAGCGAAAGCAAUAAGCAUUCCGCCUGGGGAGUACGGCCGCAAGGUUGAAACUCAAAGGAAUUGACGGGGGCCCGCACAAGCAGCGGAGCAUGUGGUUUAAUUCGACGCAACGCGAAGAACCUUACCAGGUCUUGACAUCCAAUUAAAGCAGUAGAGAUAUUGUGUGCCCUUCGGGGCGAAUUGAGACAGGUGGUGCAUGGUUGUCGUCAGCUCGUGUCGUGAGAUGUUGGGUUAAGUCCCGCAACGAGCGCAACCCUUACGGAUAGUUACUAACACGCAAAGGUGAGGACUCUAUCAGGACUGCCGGGGACAACUCGGAGGAAGGUGGGGACGACGUCAAAUCAUCAUGCCCCUUAUGACCUGGGCUACACACGUGCUACAAUGGCCGUAACAAAGAGGAGCAAGCCCGCAAGGGUAAGCAGAUCUCAAAAAAGCGGUCUCAGUUCGGAUUGUGGGCUGCAACCCGCCCACAUGAAGUCGGAGUUGCUAGUAAUCGCAGAUCAGCAUGCUGCGGUGAAUACGUUCCCGGGCCUUGCACACACCGCCCGUCA